UUUACAGAAGGUGACAUAUGAAAAAAUUGGAACGAUACAGAGAGGGCUUUUUUUGCCUUUGUCAAUGAUUUCACUGUAAUUCUCAGAGUGGUCGAUCUGUCCAUUUGCGGAAAAUUUCCCUUUUUUGGAUAUUCUAAUAUUUUGACCCAGACAUUGUCUAGGUCAAAGAUAUAUGAUAUUGUUCAGUUAGCAUGGCCCCUGCACAAGGAUGACAGGUUAGCACUGGGUGUUAUUGGACAAGCUU
rnacentral:snRNA from 1 species